ACGGGAGAGUAACACGUGGGAACGUGCCCUUUGGUUCGGAAUAACUCAGGGAAACUUGAGCUAAUACCGGAUAAGCCCUUCGGGGGAAAGAUUUAUUGCCAUUGGAGCGGCCCGCGUCGGAUUAGCUAGUUGGUGAGGUAAUGGCUCACCAAGGCGACGAUCCGUAGCUGGUCUGAGAGGAUGACCAGCCUCACUGGGACUGAGACACGGCCCAGACUCCUACGGGAGGCAGCAGUGGGGAAUAUUGGACAAUGGGCGCAAGCCUGAUCCAGCCAUGCCGCGUGGAUGAUGAAGGCCCUAGGGUUGUAAAGUCCUUUUAACGGGGAAGAUAAUGACGGUACCCGUAGAAUAAGCCCCGGCUAACUUCGUGCCAGCAGCCGCGGUAAUACGAAGGGGGCUAGCGUUGCUCGGAAUUACUGGGCGUAAAGCGCACGUAGGCGGACCGAUAAGUCGGGGGUGAAAUCCUGGAGCUCAACUCCAGAACUGCCUUCGAAACUGCCGGUCUUGAGUUCGGGAGAGGUGAGUGGAACUGCGAGUGUAGAGGUGAAAUUCGUAGA
rnacentral:rRNA from 2 species